GGCGGCGUAGCUCAGCUGGCUAGAGCGUACGGUUCAUACCCGUAAGGUCGGGGGUUCGAGGCCCUCCGCCGCCACCA
rnacentral:tRNA from 1 species